GUGUCAGCUGCAAUAUCAUCUAACCUUUGUAAGUGCAGAUUAUGCCAAAGAGGCGUGAAUGUAAGUGAGCCCUUUACCUUCAACCAUGUCCUAGUAGUAGCCCACACUUUCAGGAGUAAUUUUAUAGUCUCUCUAUAGCCCUGCUCAUAGCUCCUCAAUAGCCCAGAUUCCAGAAGAAAAAAAUAUUUUUGUGGACAUGA